UCUGCAUUCCAGUGUUUCGCCGGACGCCAAGCCAAUCGCUCUCGCUGCGCCGCGCCGAGUCGACGAGCUGCAGAGUUGCGUGCGAUUUUCGGCGGAUAUGGAGCGCGACUGCUCGUGACUCUUCUGGCUCGCUGAAACAUCGUUACGCCGAACAACCUCGUGCGAGACUUGGACGUGCGCGUUCGAGACCAUCACUGGCGCACUUGUGACCUGGACUCCGCGUGCUCUCGAGAAACGCCGGGAUGUGCGCGAUUCUCGCCGAGGUGUAGCGAGGAGAGCAAGUAGCCCCAAGAAAGAAGAGAGACAGAGAGAGAGAGAGAGAGAGAGAGAGAGAGAAGAGAAAGAGAGAAACGGCGCGUCGCUGCCGAGGCGGACGCAAGCAGGAACAGCGACAGGGCGCCGAGGAUUUGAAUGCUCCGCUGGAGGAAAGGAAUGAGUCAAGAUGCGACCAGCGUCCACGUUGUGCGGCAUCGCCGCGGUUCUGCUCUGCGCGCUGGGAUGCUGUGCCUCCGCAGGUCAAAAGUCGGAGCCGGGAAUGGUGUUCACGAGACAUCCGCAGCCACUGGACGCACCUCUGUGCGAUGAGGUUUACUUCGAGUGCAGUCUGAAUCUCGCAGCCGAGAGGUUCGUCUGGCGACACAGGCCGCUGGGCUCCAGCGAGUGGAUCCUCCUCGACUCGGGAUCCGCUGGCGGAGGCAAGACUUCCAGAUACGUCGUCUCCUUCAACGACACGAGCAAAGCCGGCGAUUACCGAUGCAUCGCUUUUUACGGUACGAGCGGUCUGGCCUCGGAUCCAGCCCGACUGACUCAGGCGCGCAUCGAGCGCUUCUCCGACAAGAGUGACGUCCACCUGCGCGUUAGAGCCGGCAACAACGUGCCCAUAACCUGCCCGGUGCCCUACUCGGUGCCCGAGGCGGACAUCCAGUUCUUCAAGGAUGACAAACCGAUCCAGAACGCCAGUCUGACGGGCAGCAAGAUCAUGAUUAUCGAGAGGGCCAGAGCCACGGAUUCCGGCUACUACCGCUGCCAAGCCUACAAUUACAUAACCUCCGAACAGUACACCAGCAACCAUCGGACGCUGCUGACCGUCGACGAAAAUACGACGGAUCAGCCGCCCUACUCGAUAAAGCAGCCCCAGCACGAGUACAAGGUGCAGCGCGGCAAGAAUGUCACGUUGGAAUGCUUUGCCGUCGGCUAUCCCGUGCCCCAGGUAACGUGGACGAAACUAGGAAGCUCCCUGCCCUCCAAGUCGAGCUACUCGCCGAUGGGCUUGAAUCUAGUGAACGUGCAGCCGUCGGAUCGCGGCGAGUACGACUGCGUCUGGGCGAAUCGAGCCGGCCACGUCAAGUCCGUGAUCAUCUUGACGGUCGUCGAGCCGCCCAAAAUUGUCCAGGCGCCGAAACUGUCGAUCUACCCCGAAGGCGGCGAGCUCGAGCUCUCCUGCAACGCCACGGGUUACCCGGCCCCGAGCAUCGAGUGGCUCAUCAACGGCGAGACUCUGUCGACCAGUAAGAAUCUCCAAAUCAAAGGCUCGACUCUCUACAUCUCGCUUGUGGAGAAGAAGCACGCCGGCAUUGUCCAGUGCGUGGCCAGCAACGAAUACGGAUCCCACUCGGGCUACAACUAUCUCAGGGUGACGCCAAAGCAGCACCUCGGGGGCAACAAGUCCAGGAAUGACUUUGGGAUGUCCAGCAAUGGCCACAAGCAUAUGAGGGUCGGCGGCCGGAGGAGAGGGAAGAAUGGAAAGCGCAAGGACUCUGGAAUGUUGGAUGUCAUGGUGCCGCCGAAUCAGCCAAACGUCACAAGGCUGUCGGACGUCUCGGUGAUGGUGAGGUGGUCGGUGCCGGAGAACCACGGCCUGCCGAUCUCCUUCUUCAAGGUGCAGUACCGCGAGCUCGGCCAGAAACCCAACAGCAAGCAGGCCAAGUGGAUGACCCACAACACGGAGAUACCGAGUCACGUCAGGUCGUUCGAGGUUCCCGAUCUUCAGCCGGACCACACUUAUCGGUUCCGCAUCGCUGCUGUUUAUUCCAAUAACGAUAACGCCGUCAGCCCGAUCUCCGUACGGUUCCACCUCUCACGCAUGGCUGGCUUCGAGAGUAACACGAUGCCGAUUCCGCUGCUGACGCACACCGAGGCUCUGAGCCCGAACGAAGUGCUGCUCAUCUGGCAAAACACGAAUCGCUCGGCUGACAUCGAUGGUUUCUACGUUUACCACCGAGCCUCCACCUCGGCCGGCGACUACAUCAAGACCACCGUUGAAGGCAAGAACUCGACCAACAUCACGAUAUCCCACCUUCAACCGGACACCACCUACGAGUUCAAGGUGCAGAGCUUCUCGGUCGACGCGGCCUCCGAAUUCUCACAGAUCUUGCGCCAAAAGACGAGAAAGGUCGUAACCGAGGCGCCGAUACCGCAGGUCCUCGCCGAGAGCAAGGUCAACCCCGUGGAGAGCGCCAGAAGCUCCAAUAUGUACGCGAUCAUCGGUGGAGUUCUGGGCGGCGCCAUACUCUUGGCAGCUCUCGCCGGCAUCGGCGUCGCCUACAAGAGGAGCAAGCACAAACAGAGCCGGGAAUCCUCGCAAGAUCAGGGUAAACCGAUAACUAACGGAAGGGUAAUGAACGGUGGAAUAACAGAUUCCAAGAUAAACAUAACGUCUAACCCACUGGCUGGGCUCGAGUCUACCGAGGACCCAAUGCAGCCUAAGGUCAGUGUAUGAAACUUGCGAUUGAUGCUUUUUGCGGUUGAUUGAAGAAAUCACGACGGCGCUGUGUCUUCUAUUUACAUCUCUCUUCUGCGCUCCCUCCCUCUUCUUCUUGUUCUAUACAACUCUGCCUCUCCAGUUGGUCAAUAGCCCAUACAGUCUGUGUAGCUCUGCUGCUGUUAUUCACUCUCGCCACUCAGCUGAAAGUAUUAUACCAGCGGACAACAGUCGUCAAUGGAAAUGGCCUCGUUCCUUAACGGCCAGAACAACAACGGCAGCAGCAACAGCAACAACAGCCACCAGCCAACGGCACCGAUCCUCCAGCAGAACCACAUCGGCAACCAUCAGGACUCCCCGAGCGGAGCUGCACUGCCGGCGCAGAUAGAUACCACGUCUCCUCCUGCUCCUCUGCUGCAAGCUGUCCUGCCGAUAGAGCAGCCCCGCUGAAAAACUGCCGGAAGUGAGACCGCUUCGCGCGAACUGUGUACUAUACCUAUAAGUACUCUGAUGUUUCCUCGUUAACGAAAUGACGCCCUACCGGCCUAGAGCACGUUCUCCUUUUAUUGUAAGUAAGAAGGUGAUUUUGUUGAAAUUACCAACGGCUUAGACGUUGAUUUUUACGUAGCUUUGUGAUGAUUUUUUGGAGACUGAAAUAAUCGACGUUAGACGUGGCUUUAGCCGUAGAUUUAAUGCAAUUUUUAUUUCAAAAGAAUCUAGUUUUUUGUAAAUCCUUUCAAUAGACGGUAAGGCGGUCUUUCGUUGUGCAAUUAAAAUAAUAUAAUGCCCCGUUGCCGUUUGGCGGGUAUCUCGAAUUCGUUAUAGUUUUAAAUUUAUUCUAAUUUGUAAUUUCCAAAAACGUAUACGCCGACUGUUAUAAAAAGAAUAUUGUAAUAGUAUCGCAGUGAUGACGCAGAUUUCAAGAGAUCUAUAUAGUAUUUAAAAUUAUUUCAAAGAGUCAUUAGUUCCGCGGUCGUCGUUUCAAAAAAAGAAAUCGCCAACGGCUGUCGUCUAUGUUUACAUAGUCUGCUAUGACGUAGUCAGUAAGACGAAAAUCGUCUGAUGCGUUUGAACGUACCUGUGGGAUUGCAGAUCGAAUGCGAACCAAUAAGGCUCUUUUAUCGAGUGCGAGUGGCACGAGCAUUAUGUGAAAGAGUGUAGCGAAUUUACGUAUAUAUGUUAUCACUAAGUAACGAGAUUAAUCGUUUCGCAACGUAUACUGUAAAGAAGAAACAAAGGCAUUACAUGCGUAUCUAUAAAAGUUUUUCUAGCCAUGAUUUUUUUAUACUGCUAGUAACAAUUGUCGUUAUCAUUACAAACUAGAACGGCAUCAGCGCAUUAACUUGAAAGUAAUAAAUUAUUUGCAAUUUUCGCGUCUAUGCGUAAUGUAAUUACGCGUAGAUUGAGUUUCACUGUAAUUUUGUAAAAUUUACGCAAAUAAUUCUAUGCAUAAUUUUGAAAAAAUCGUCUCGAGCUAAUUGUAUGUAAUCUUUUUUCUCUGUAGAAUAUUUACUUAAUGUAAAUGUUUAUUUAAUCUCAAAUAAUUAUAAUUUUCUCAGUAAGCAGCUUUUGCAGAUCCUAUAUAAUGCAUAUGUUAUAAUUAUUAACAAUCUACUAUCAAACCCGAUUUACUCGGGCAUUAAAAUAUUCCGGUUACUUUGUAUAUAAAAUAGUAAGUUCUAAUAAGUUGUGAGAUUAAAUUAUUGUGUAGCGAAUGGAUUUUUACGUAGAAGAAUGAAUGAUUUACAAUUGCUAAUUAAUUUACACUUUAUUUCAUCAAAAAUUUUCCUGAUAAUGAUUGGACACGUGUGAACAAGAUGUUUCUGUGCAAAAGGGCGUAUAAAAGCAAUCGUAGUUUAGUUGCACACUAAUUUUAAGAAAUGUAUGUUUAUUAAUUUGAAACGUUAUGUUAAACAACGACUCAAAACAACGAAACUGUAGCUUUUAGCGAAUAGUCAAAGGCAGCAUUGAUACGCGUUUUUAUUAUCAUUGAAUUCGACCGAGAUGUGCAAGUAAUGUUAUAAAUAUAGACUAUUAUACAUGUGUAUAUUCCUGUAAAACAGGCAAAAGAAAAAAAUAUUUUUCAAAGUGAGAAUCAGGUUGUGCGAUUUGAGCGAAAUUUCCUUUUAUUUUUUGUUGAAUGUAUGUAUAUGUGAACGUAUUGUAAAUAUGUAUGAUUAUUAUAUGAGAAAAUAAAAAAACUAAGUGACUCGUGAAUGCAAUGUCCACUGCUUUCGUCACUUUUAAAUCAUGAGAUGAGAUCGAAAUGUACAUAUUAGUCUAUAUAACGCGAUUCUCAUCGUUUUAGCAGUGCCUUGUGAUUGACUUGAGGCAUGAGAGAAAGACAAGACGUAAUUUUAUUAACAACGACUAUUUAUACAUAAAUAUAUUAUAUGCGCCGGCAAUCCUUUUUAUGUGUACUUAAUAUUUCUUUUCGUAAUAAAAUAUACAAUACAAAAAAUA